UACGUAGGUGGCGAGCGUUGUCCGGAAUUACUGGGUGUAAAGGGCGUGUAGGCGGGGAAGCAAGUCAGAUGUGAAAUCCCGGGGCUCAACUCCGGAGUUGCAUCUGAAACUGUUUUUCUUGAGUGCUGGAGAGGAAAGCGGAAUUCCUAGUGUAGCGGUGAAAUGCGUAGAUAUUAGGAGGAACACCAGUGGCGAAGGCGGCUUUCUGGACAGUAACUGACGCUGAGGCGCGAAAGCGUGGGGAGCAAACAGGAUUAGAUACCCCCGUAGUCCCU
rnacentral:rRNA from 1 species